rnacentral:rRNA from 1 species
GAGAUCCCCCACACUGGUACUGAGACACGGACCAGACUCCUACGGGAGGCAGCAGUGGGGAAUUUUCCGCAAUGGGCGAAAGCCUGACGGAGCAACGCCGCGUGAGGGAUGAAGGCCUCUGGGCUGUAAACCUCUUUUAUCAAGGAAGAAGAUCUGACGGUACUUGAUGAAUAAGCCACGGCUAAUUCCGUGCCAGCAGCCGCGGUAAUACGGGAGUGGCAAGCGUUAUCCGGAAUUAUUGGGCGUAAAGCGUCCGCAGGCGGCCCUUCAAGUCUGCUGUUAAAAAGUGGAGCUUAACUCCAUCAUGGCAGUGGAAACUGUUGGGCUUGAGUGUGGUAGGGGCAGAGGGAAUUCCCGGUGUAGCGGUGAAAUGCGUAGAUAUCGGGAAGAACACCAGUGGCGAAGGCGCUCUGCUGGGCCAUCACUGACGCUCAUGGACGAAAGCCAGGGGAGCGAAAGGGAUUAGAUACCCCUGUAGUCCUGGCCGUAAACGAUGAACACUAGGUGUCGGGGGAAUCGACCCCCUCGGUGUCGUAGCCAACGCGUUAAGUGUUCCGCCUGGGGAGUACGCACGCAAGUGUGAAACUCAAAGGAAUUGACGGGGGCCCGCACAAGCGGUGGAGUAUGUGGUUUAAUUCGAUGCAACGCGAAGAACCUUACCAGGGUUUGACAUCCUGCGAAUCUCUUGGAAACGAGAGAGUGCCUUCGGGAACGCAGUGACAGGUGGUGCAUGGCUGUCGUCAGCUCGUGUCGUGAGAUGUUGGGUUAAGUCCCGCAACGAGCGCAACCCACGUCUUUAGUUGCCAGCAUUUAGUUGGGCACUCUAGAGAGACUGCCGGUGAUAAACCGGAGGAAGGUGUGGAUGACGUCAAGUCAUCAUGCCCCUUACAUCCUGGGCUACACACGUACUACAAUGCUACGGACAAAGGGCUGCAAGUUCGCGAGGACAAGCAAAUCCCAUAAACCGUGGCUCAGUUCAGAUCGUAGGCUGCAACUCGCCUACGUGAAGGCGGAAUCGCUAGUAGUCGCAGGUCAGCAUACUGCGGUGAAUACGUUCCCGGGCCUUGUACACACCGCCCGUCACACCAUGGAAGUUGGCCACGCCCGAAGCCGUUACUCCAACCCUUGUGGAGGAGGACGUCGAAGGUGGGGCUGAUGACUGGGGUGAAGUCGUAA